AUGGCGGGAGUACUGGUUGACGUUGUGCUUGAGCGUUUGGCUACGCUCGCCCUUGACAAGGUCGAACGAGAGUUGAAGCUGGUUGGAGGAGUUAAGCAGGAAAUCAAAAAUCUCACCAAAAAACUCAUAGCUAUUCGGGCGGUGCUGGAGGAUGCAGAGCAGAGGCAAGUGAUGGAAGCCAGCGUCAAACUUUGGGUGGAUGAGCUAAAUGAUGUUUCCUUCGACAUGGAUGACGUGCUGGAUGAGUGGAUCACUAGAGUUGAGAAGCAUCAAUUGGAGAAACAAGCAACGGAAGGUGCAAAUGCUGUUGUGGCUACUAAGAAGAAGGUAUGCUUCCCCUUUCCCCUCUCUUGCUUUCGCUUCGGCCAAGUCGAUUAUCAGUUAUUUCUUCGUCGAGAAAUUGCUUUGAAGAUAGAAGAACUGAAUGAAAGAUUAGCUCUAAUUGAUGAAAGAAAACAAAGUUUUGGCUUUCAAAACAUCCUAAGGGCAGUUCCCCCCGAACUGUCUCAAAGACGAAAAACUACUUCUCUUCCCAAUGUCAAAACAUUUGGUCGAGAUGAUGAAAAAAACCUCAUAAUUAGCAAGCUGCUAAGUGUGAGUAAUGAAGGAAAGAAAGUUCCUCUCAUCAUCCCUAUUGUAGGGAUGGGGGGAAUGGGGAAAACAUCUCUUGCCAACUUAGUCUAUAAUGACGAUAAGAUCAAAUCUUACUUUGACAAGAGCAUAUGGGUAUGUGUCUCAGACCCUUUUGAAGAGAUCAAAAUUGCUAAAGCUAUUAUUGAAGUUCUAGACAAAGAAAGCACUUCAAAAAACUCAGAUGAGUUGGAAACUUUGAUGCAAUGUAUAUUUGAAUUGAUUAAGGGGAAAAAGUUCCUCCUUGUUUUAGAUGAUGUUUGGAGCCCAAAAUCUCAUCAAUGGGAAGAAUUAGUCAAACCUUUUAAGUAAUGGUGCUACAGGCAGUAGGGUCUUGGUGACCACUCGAAAUGAAAACGUUGCUACUUUAAUGAAGGCAACAACCCAAAUGAUCCUUUUGAAGGAGUUAGGUGAACCAUUUUGUUUGUCAUUAUUCUAUUACCAUGCAGAAGUGGAUGAGAGUAGUGUGUCUAAAGAGUUUUCUCAUAUUGGGUCAGAGAUUGUGGAAAGGUGCAAUGGGUUGCCUCUUGCUGCAAAGACAUUAGGAAGUUUGAUGCGAAGUAAGAAGAAGAUCCAUGAAUGGCAAGCUGUUCUAAAUAGUAAGACAUGGGAGUUGAAAGAGAUUGAACAUGAUGUAUUCCAACCUUUAUUACUAAGUUAUCGUGAUUUAUAUCCACCAAUCAAACGUUGUCUUUUAUAUUGUCUCUCAUUUCCAAAAGAUUACAUAUAUAAUAAGAAUACUUUGAUUGAGUCAUGGAUGUCACAAGAUUAUCUAAAAGUGAAUGGAAGUAAAGAAAGGGAAAUAAUUGGUCAAAAUUAUUUUGACGAAUUAGUAAAGCGCUCGUUUUUUCAAGAUGUUGAGGUAGAUCUUCCUGAGUAUGGAAACAUAAGAUGCAAAAUUCAUGAUUUUGUACAUGACUUUCUACAAUAUGUCACCAACAAUGAAUAUUUGAAUUUUGAUUCUAAGUUGGAGCCCAAUAGUGAUGAGGAGGUGCCAUAUGAUAAAGUUCAUCAUUUGACCUUAAUGGAUCCAGUCACGGGUUACUCUAUGCACCGUAUUCUCCCCAACUGUAAAAGAUUACGUACCAUAAGAGCGAUAGAUGGAUCCCAUUAUUCCAUUGAUCUAAUAUUUCAGUUGAUAGUUGAACUGAAAAGCCUUAGGACAUUAGCCUUGUGUAGCGUGUCGAAUGAUAUUCCAUAUGCAAUCGAUGUUACUCUCGAAAUUCCCAAGAUGAUAGGUGGAUUGAUACAUUUGAGGUAUCUUGAUUUAUCCGGUAACGGUGAGUUGAAAGAGUUACCGAGCGUCAUGGGUAGCUUAUACAAUCUGCAAACCUUGAAACUUGUUGGUUGCUGGGGACUCGAGGAAAUAGAUGUGGGAAGGCUGAUUAACUUGAGGCAUCUUUAUGUAAAUAAAUGUAGCGAGCGUGUGUUGAUUAAAGGGAUUGAGAAAUUAAAACAUAUGCAAACGCUAGAUUGGUUUCCUGUCGUACGCUGCUACGACAUGGAUGAAGGAAACAAGUGGGAACAACUGAAAGACGUGAACCAGCUUCAGGGGAGUCUCAGUAUUUACAUGAAGCAUAGUAGAAAGAUGGCGAAGAAUGCAGCAGUUAUGGUGAAUAAGUCUCGCCUCUUGGAACUGAAACUAGAGUUCUACUGGAAUGUAGCUGAAGAAAGAGAAAUUAUGAAUGGGUUAGAGCCGCAUCCAUGUUUGGAAUCUUUAUCCAUCGAUGGUUAUGGAGGCGACGCCUUCUCCGAUUGGUUCUCGUCUUUACACUGCUUGAGAGUCCUCUCCCUUAUUGCGUGCCGACACUGUAAGAUUUUGCCCCCUUUAGGAAAACUGGCAUCCCUUGAAUCAUUACAUAUUCAGAUGCUCGGUCGAGUCUCAAAGGUAGGAGUUGAGUUUUUGGGAAUAGAACAAGGGCAAACCUCGUCGUCUUCGUCUUCCAUUUUCGUAUCAUUCCCCAACCUCAAACUACUUACCAUCAGUCUCAUGGACUCGUGGGAAGAGUGGGAAGGAGUGGAAGAGGAGAAUUCUGCGAAUAUUACAAUCAUGCCAUGCCUUGAGCAGUUGGAAAUUGGUUACUGCGAUAAGCUAAAAGCACUGCCGGACUUCCUGUGGAACACACCACUACAGAAAUUGGAGAUCCGCAAUUCUCCAAUACUAAAAGACCUGUACACACAAGAAAUAGGUGAGGCCAAGAUUUCUCACAUCCCAAACAUCCAGUUAAAACAGGAGGCUUCAGAAACAAGCACAUUUUCAAGAGGAAAGGCCUUGUCUAAUGGUUUAUCAUAUAUUGUUAACCUGGCACGUACGCAUGUCUUCAGGACUGUUUUCCAAUGGAUGUCAGGAUUGGAGGGCACAACUGUUGUUGGUAUAUAUACCGCAAACAUAAGCAACGAUCUCGUAGACCGUUUUCCGGCCAUGAAAGGCCCCGCCCCUGACAUACAUCUGGUAGACCGACAUCCGGGCUACCUCGCCAUGGUGAAAGAUCAUCGGUACCACAUCGGGAAGGUGCUCUCCCAAGCUCUACAAGAAGGCAUCUUGAUAAUAGUUAUAUGCAUUUUGUCCCACAUUGAAAUUGAUGCAAUGUAUGAGGGGAAUGAGACCAUCGAUAGCAAUUUGACCGGGCUGCAAGCUUCUGAUGUUUUUGUAGAUAAGAGACCACAAGAUCAUCCAGAGACGAGCAUCGCUUUAACUUCAAAUGGGCUCAUUAUCAGUGAUGAUGGCAAUCUUCAUUCACUAAUGUUGAGCUAUGCUGCAAAGGUACCUGAUGUUGGGAAAGAAGUGGCUGCCUAA